AUUCAACUGACGAGUUCCAAAUAGGACGAAACGCGCAUCGAAU
rnacentral:hammerhead_ribozyme from 1 species